rnacentral:rRNA from 1 species
AACGAACGCUGGCGGCAGGCCUAACACAUGCAAGUCGAGCGCGCCCUUCGGGGUGAGCGGCGGACGGGUGAGUAACGCGUGGGAACGUGCCCUUUUCUACGGAAUAGCCUCGGGAAACCGAGAGUAAUACCGUAUACGCCCUUUGGGGGAAAGAUUUAUCGGAAAAGGAUCGGCCCGCGUUGGAUUAGGUAGUUGGUGGGGUAAUGGCCUACCAAGCCGACGAUCCAUAGCUGGUUUGAGAGGAUGAUCAGCCACACUGGGACUGAGACACGGCCCAGACUCCUACGGGAGGCAGCAGUGGGGAAUCUUAGACAAUGGGGGCAACCCUGAUCGAGCCAUGCCGCGUGAGUGAUGAAGGCCUUAGGGUUGUAAAGCUCUUUCAGCUGGGAAGAUAAUGACGGUACCAGCAGAAGAAGCCCCGGCUAACUCCGUG